AGGCAGUGUCUUGUUAGCUGAAUGGUCUGUUUUAUCAGUUUACCUGUUGCUGCCCUC
rnacentral:pre_miRNA from 1 species